rnacentral:rRNA from 1 species
UGGAUUAGUGGCGAACGGGUGAGUAACACGUGAGCAAUCUGCCCCUGACUCCGGAAUAACUACGGGAAACUGUAGCUAAUACCGGAUAUGCGCCGAACAGGCAUCUGUAUCGGUGGGAAAGAAUUUCGGUCAGGGAUGAGCUCGCGGCCUAUCAGCUUGUUGGUGAGGUAACGGCUCACCAAGGCGACGACGGGUAGCCGGCCUGAGAGGGUGACCGGCCACAUUGGGACUGAGACACGGCCCAGACUCC